CACACGAUGUAUCGCAAAAAAUUACUACCGUGUAUAUCUGAUGUUGAUUGUUAGUAUUUUGAAGGUUAUUCACUAGCGUACAGUUAUCAAAAUUCAAAACACAAUUUCACAAUCUACGACGUGGU